UACGAAGGGGGCUAGCGUUGCUCGGAAUCACUGGGCGUAAAGGGUGCGUAGGCGGGUCUUUUAAGUCAGGGUGAAUACCUCGGAGCUCAACUCCAGAACUGCCUUUGAUACUGAGGAUCUUGAGUUCGGGAGAGGUGAGUGGAACUGCGAGUGUAGAGGUGAAAUUCGUAGAUAUUCGCAAGAACACCAGUGGCGAAGGCGGCUCACUGGCCCACAACUCGACGCUGAGUGACACGGAAAGCUAGGGGAGCAAACAGGAUUCAGAUACCC
rnacentral:rRNA from 1 species